UUUGAUCGUUGCCUUUUCAGUUAUGCUAUUUGUAUUCGCCAAGAACUGGGAUAUUGUUGUGUAGAAUAUUCCGUAUGUCCUGAUGUUGAGGAUACAGGCUUUACCCUUAGCAUAAAAGAUGAGGGUAAGGCAUAUCAUGACACCGAUUGCCAUUCAAUUGAUUAUGUUGGAAUUGAAGGGUCUUCUUCGAUUUGCAAUCAAGCUGGAACCCCGACCGUUGUUAGGUCAAAAUACUGCGGGGAUAAAUUGAAUGACUUCACCGAGGCAGAUCAGCAUGUUCCAAUUUGCGAUUGCUCUCCUCCCUUUCACGUGCAAAUAUUUACAAAUAAGGUAUCUGAGGCCACUGACGAUCCCACUACCGAGGAUGCUAAUGAAAAGUACAGCAGAGGCUUGUGCUUUGAAUAUGUUCAGAUUCCUUGCAAUUAAACAUAUCCUCAUGUCAAGACAGAGCAAACUCCGUGGGUCCAGUUUCCAAGACUAGAAUACACACAAAUUAUGACAAUGCUGUCGAUAAAUAGGUUUCAAUAUGUUGGUUUUAUUUGUUAUCAGUAGCACUCUAAGAGGAAAAAUAUAAAGAUGCAUGAAGC